AAGGAGUGUGCACGCGCUUCGGGUGCGUGAAGGUGGAGGGUGAGAAGGCUAGCACUCCUUGCGCUGGCCUCCGUCACGUUUCUAUCGGCUGUGGGGAAUUGGGAAGAAGAGCUUUGAGCCACUCGCUCUGCCAGGUUCUCCCAACAGGACAAUAAACUCAUCUGGAAGGCAGAGGGCCUGCCCAUUCAUAAACCUGUUGAUGUGGUCCCCAGAGGUGAGUUUCUCUGAACAGAGAGCAAGAAGGGUAGAGAGUUGAUCCAGAAGAAAAGUGAAAGCUAGCCAACACAACCAGAAAGCCAAAAAAAAAAAGAGAGAGAGAGGGAAAUAAUAGGCAUAAUUCUAUUAUGCAUCCAGAAGAGAAUUUUUAAAAGAGUUGCCUUUGUGAAAUUAAUUGAAAACAGCAAGACGCAGGGUUGGGAACUGCUUUUAUUACAUUCUUUUAUAAUAUAAACUUUGUAGAACUCUUUGGCUCUUUUAACUAGGUACAACUUGCACAAAAAUAAUUUUUAAGUGCUCUUUGGAUUUGCAGUGAGAAAAUCGUGGGUAACCUUUUGCCAGGCAAUUUCAGCUCAGCAAUGGGAGCCGAGGUCAGAUUACAGUGCGUUGAGAAUCUGAGAUGGGUGAGAGAGGAAUUCUAAAGGCA
rnacentral:lncRNA from 1 species